ensembl:lncRNA
UCUCAGAUGACUGCCUGUUUCAUAUGGCUUUACAGUGAAUCUCACCAAAGGCAGAGUGUAUUUCUCUGCUCCACUGAUGAUACCUCACUUGGCCAUGUGACUUGCUUUGACCAAUGGGAUGUAUGUGAAUAUGAAGCAGGCAAAGGCUUGAAAUGUGGAGACUUGUGACGCAAACCUGAACCAGACCUGCAUCCUGGAGCCAAGCCCUGCCAAGUGCAGUCGUGACUAGGAGACCCACCGCUGCAGACAGACAUGAAGACAGAGGCUCAUAGACUCUAGUGCCUUAUAUAGGGCCUCAUAGAUAUCUUUGCAGAUCUGAUGUGACACUCAGAAGAAAAUGCCAAAGAUGUUUUCAUAUGAGUGGAGGGUAUGAUCCAGAGGACAUUCAGCCUUCCUCACUGCACGGUGGCCUCAGGGCAACUGAAUGACUGAAGACCUCAAGGAUGUGUAUCCCACCUUCAAGAUCAAGGACUGAACCGGGCACCUGGCGGUGGAUUCACAGAGUUCUAACCUCUGGACUGCUAGGGAAGCCCCCUGCUGUAAAGCUUUGACGUGUAGGAGCAGGUGUGCGUGGCAGAAGAACACGUUUUCUGUAAACAAAAGGCAAAACAAAACACAGGGAAAAGAAACAACCCCUCCUCCACAUAAAUCCCAGAGUGAUUUAGAGAACAGAGUGGAGCAAGAGACCACGCGGAAAAGGUUGAGGGAAGAAACCCGAAACCGGAGGCUGGUUCCAAAAGAUGUCAUAGGAACCUGCAGUUGUAAAGGCCACAUAAUGCAGAGGUCUGGGUACUAUUGGGGUGGAGAUUGUUUGGGGGGUAAACUUCUUAGAAAAGAGAAUAAUAAAAUUUGACAGAGUUUUUCUACAUAGAAAUUAAAAGAUUCAGUAUGGCAAAAGAAAACACCAAAGAAGUCAAAAGUCAACAGUGUGGGAAAGAUGCUUGCAAUAAACAUAGCAAAGGAUUGUAUUUCAAAGAGCUUCUAGCAAAUGUGCAAGCAGCUUAUAAACAAUCCAAUAGAAAAAUGCCUAAGGAUAGUCCACAGAAAAGAAAGGGAAAUUGUCCAAUGAAUAUGUGGACUUUUGUCAUCUGGGAAAUACAAACUGAAACAAAAGCAAGCUAUCGUGCUUAACCAUUAGAUUCCAAAAUUAAAAAUGAUAAUAUCAAAUGUUAGCUAGGGUAUGAGGAACUCAGAUACAUUGUUGGUAUGACUGUAAAUUGCCAUAAUUUGUACAAAAGUUAUCUGGCAUUUUUAUUAAAGUUGAAAAUGCAUAUAUCUUUAACAUAGCUGUGUAUGCUUCUGACAAUAUAUAAAGUAGAAAAAAAUUGAAUAUAAAUGUAUACAUUAAAGAGCAUUUAUUGUGGCAAUUUUCUUAUUUACAAAAGCUAGAAAAAAAUCCCAAGACCUGUCAACAAGGCAAUGAUUGAAUAUUUAAAUGAUGAAAUUUUAGUCUAUCGAAUUCCAUGUAGUAAAGGAAAAUAACAAGGCAUAUCCUCUGUACCUUGUCUUGGAUAUCAUUCAGUAUAUAAUAAGAGUGAAAAAGUUACAAAAUAAUAUGAAUAUACAUAUUGUUAUUUGUCUUAUGAAUAGUAUAAAGAAAAUGAUAAAUAUAUGUGCAUAUGAUUAUUUAAAUAAAGUAUAGAAGGAAUCAUUUGAAAUUUUCAGUGGGAUACAAAGUGUUAUUAACACCAAUUUGAGAUGAGAUGGGAGAGAAACUUAAUUUUACUUGACAAGCAUCUUCAUCUUUGGAACUGUUUCUGUAAGCCUGUAUAGGUGUUUGAUCCAAAGACUAAAGA